UGGGGAACUUGCGCCAUGGGGGAAACCCUUACGCAGCCACGCCGCGUGCGGGAUGAAGGCCCUUGGGUUGUUAACCGCUUUUAGCCGGGACGAGGCCUUAUGGUGACGGUACCUGCAGAAGAAGCUCCGGCCAAAUACGUGCCAGCAGCCGCGGUAAUACGUAUGGAGCAAGCGUUAUCCGGAUUCAUUGGGCGUAAAGCGCUCGUAGGCGGUCUGUUAGGUCGGCAAGUUAAAUCCGGGGGCUCAACCCCCGUCCGCUUCCGAUACCGGCAGACUUGAGUUUGGUAGGGGAAGGUGGAAUUCCUAGUGUAGCGGUGGAAUGCGCAGAUAUUAGGAAGAACACCGGUGGCGAAGGCGGCCUUCUGGGCCAUAACUGACGCUGAGGAGCGAAAGCUAGGGGAGCGAACAGG
rnacentral:rRNA from 1 species